rnacentral:rRNA from 1 species
UACGUAGGGUGCAAGCGUUGUCCGGAAUUAUUGGGCGUAAAGAGCGUGUAGGCGGCCAGGUAGGUCUGCUGUGAAAACUCGAGGCUUAACCUCGAGCUGUCGGCGGAAACCAUCUGGCUAGAGUCCGGAAGAGGAGAAUGGAAUUCCCGGUGUAGCGGUGAAAUGCGCAGAUAUCGGGAAGAACACCCGUGGCGAAGGCGGUUCUCUGGGACGGUACUGACGCUGAGACGCGAAAGCGUGGGGAGCAAACAGG